ACCCAACACACACUAAUCUCCUUCAUCUCUCAUUUCCACCAUUUUCCUCCAUUGAUGAAAACCUUCGAAGCUUCCAACAAUAUUACCAAACACCUCAAACCACUCUAAUAUCUUCUAUAAACACAUUCUAGCCACUUUUAAUCAAGAGAAUCCUUGAAGAAGAAGCUCCAAAGUUAGAGUGAGAAAGUGAGAAUUUUGGUGAGAAUUUGGACCGAGCGAGACGAAGAAGUAAGUCGCCUGUUUUCUUUCCGAAACUAGCGAAGGACUUCAGGCUAAGCGAGGAGUGAGAUUGGUCUGGUGCUGGUGGAGGAACGUUUCAAUCGUUUUGAUCAUAUUUAAUAUUGCCUUUAUGUUAAUUAGAGUUUGAUGUUUGAGAUACUUAGUUUUCUUUUGAAACCAGCCAAUACACUCACGGUUAUGUGUCUUCAUACAUAUAAUCGGUUCGCCUUUUGCUGCGAUACUCUGCUUAUUAUUCUUCCUUAUGAAAAAUGAGCAAUACCUGUUUUGUUUUUGAUCGUGAAAUUCCUGAUAAUUAAAAAGUUAUAACGA